rnacentral:rRNA from 1 species
AGACCCGAAACCCGGUGAUCUAGCCAUGGGCAGGUUGAAGGUUGGGUAACACUAACUGGAGGACCGAACCGACUAAUGUUGAAAAAUUAGCGGAUGACUUGUGGCUGGGGGUGAAAGGCCAAUCAAACCGGGAGAUAGCUGGUUCUCCCCGAAAGCUAUUUAGGUAGCGCCUCGUGAAUUCAUCUCCGGGGGUAGAGCACUGUUUCGGCAAGGGGGUCAUCCCGACUUACCAACCCGAUGCAAACUGCGAAUACCGGAGAAUGUUAUCACGGGAGACACACGGCGGGUGCUAACGUCCGUCGUGAAGAGGGAAACAACCCAGACCGCCAGCUAAGGUCCCAAAGUCAUGGUUAAGUGGGAAACGAUGUGGGAAGGCCCAGACAGCCAGGAUGUUGGCUUAGAAGCAGCCAUCAUUUAAAGAAAGCGUAAUAGCUCACUGGUCGAGUCGGCCUGCGCGGAAGAUGUAACGGGGCUAAACCAUGCACCGAAGCUGCGGCAGCGACACUGUGUGUUGUUGGGUAGGGGAGCGUUCUGUAAGCCUGUGAAGGUGUGCUGUGAGGCAUGCUGGAGGUAUCAGAAGUGCGAAUGCUGACAUAAGUAACGAUAAAGCGGGUGAAAAGCCCGCUCGCCGGAAGACCAAGGGUUCCUGUCCAACGUUAAUCGGGGCAGGGUGAGUCGACCCCUAAGGCGAGGCCGAAAGGCGUAGUCGAUGGGAAACAGGUUAAUAUUCCUGUACUUGGUGUUACUGCGAAGGGGGGACGGAGAAGGCUAUGUUGGCCGGGCGACGGUUGUCCCGGUUUAAGCGUGUAGGCUGGUUUUCCAGGCAAAUCCGGAAAAUCAAGGCUGAGGCGUGAUGACGAGGCACUACGGUGCUGAAGCAACAAAUGCCCUGCUUCCAGGAAAAGCCUCUAAGCAUCAGGUAACAUCAAAUCGUACCCCAAACCGACACAGGUGGUCAGGUAGAGAAUACCAAGGCGCUUGAGAGAACUCGGGUGAAGGAACUAGGCAAAAUG